UACGAAGGGGCUAGCGUUGCUCGGAAUCACUGGGCGUAAAGGGUGCGUAGGCGGGUUUUAAGUCAGGGUGAAAUCCUGGAGCUCAACUCCAGAACUGCCUUUGAUACUGAAGAUCUUGAGUCCGGGAGAGGUGAGUGGAACUGCGAGUGUAGAGGUGAAAUUCGUAGAUAUUCGCAAGAACACCAGUGGCGAAGGCGGCUCACUGGCCCGGUACUGACGCUGAGGCACGAAAGCGUGGGGAGCAAACAGGG
rnacentral:rRNA from 1 species